rnacentral:rRNA from 1 species
UUAUUUUUUAAUAAUUAAUUUUUAUAUAAUUUUUAUAUAAUUAAUAUUUUAGUUAUUUAUAGGAAUAAAUAUUAUAAUAUAAUAAUAUUUUAAUAAUGAUAAAAUAAGUAUUUUAUAUAUAUAAAAUAUAGUAACUCGGCAAAUAUUAUUUUCGCCUGUUUAACAAAAACAUGGUCUUUUGUUUAUAUAAAAGAUCUAACCUGCUCUAUGAUUUAUUUAAAUGGCUGCAGUAUUUUGACUGUACAAAGGUAGCAUAAUCAUUUGUCUUUUAAUUGAAGGCUUGUAUGAAUGGUUGGAUGAAAAAUAUACUUUCUUUAUUUUAUAUAAAAAAUUUAAUUUUCUAGUCAAAAAGCUAGGAUUUUUUUAUAGGACGAGAAGACCCUAUAGAACUUUAUUUUCUUUUUUUAUAAACUUUAUAGAUAAAUAUAAGUUUAUAUAUUUUUGUUAAUUUUGUUGGGGUGAUUGAAAAAAUUUUUUAACUUUUUCUAUUUUUUACAUUUAUAUAUGUUUUUUUGAUCCUUUAUUAUGGAGUAAAAGAUUAAGUUACCUUAGGGAUAACAGCGUUAUUUUUUUGGAGAGUUCUUAUCGAUAAAAAAGUUUGCGACCUCGAUGUUGG